GGAGAGGUGUCAGAGUGGUCGAAUGAGCCGGACUUGAAAUCCGGUGUAGCCGCAAGGUUACCGUGGGUUCGAAUCCCACCCUCUCCGCCA
rnacentral:tRNA from 1 species